GCGAAGCAUUGUAGGCAGUGCAUAAGUCCAGUGGGGUUACUCUAUAAGGCAUUACGAAUAGCAAUACGUUGCGAAAGUGAAUUGAGUUGCGAAGGGCAAUCGGUACUCUGUAACACUUUUUUACAUUGUAAACAGUGUUGCACUGCUUUCCCGUUGACAUAUCUCGUGUAGUUGACAUUACUGACCGAAACGAAGGAGAAUGAAAACAAAAUCAAUAACAGAAAAGUGAAUUAGUGUAGAAAAUUUACAGACAAAUAUAAUUAAAUUUGAAGAGUUUUAUAUAUAAAAGUAAUUUUAAAUCAAUAAGAAAGGAGUGAAUAUGGAUUCCGUUGUGUUAUGGGAAGAAAACACAUAAAAUGAACGAGUUGAGCGGAAAAUUAUUAGAGAAAAGUCCAAUGUGAUGAGUCUUAGUGAAAAAAAUUUCGUGCAAAAUGUCCAAAACACAACUUUUGCAAUGUCUUCAGAGGAGAAAAAUGCAGCGAAACGGGCUUUUUACUCAGUGUCUGGAAUUCCAGGAGUAAUUGGAGUGGUGGAUGGUACUCACAUCCAAAUGAUACGACCGGCAGUGAAUGAGCAUUUAUAUUUCAAUAGGAAAUUAAAGCAUAGUAUAAACGCUAUGGUGAUAUGUGAUCAUAAGAUGAUGAUAAAGGCCGUUAACGGUCGUUUUGCUGGGGCGUCAUGAUUCACAUGUGUGGAAUUUGUGAAGCGAGCGCCAAUAUUUACAAACCAAUUAUGUGAAUGGAGAAAUAGGAAUUCGCAUUCUUGAAAUGCUGCUGAUAAAAACUCUGCUGAAAGUUACUACAACUUACAAAUUUUAAAAAGCCAGAUCCCUUAUCGAACGAGUAUUUGGAGUAUUAAAAGCGGUUCCGAUGCGUUUUAGCUGCUAGGGAACUAGA